CCCUUUUUAGGACUUCUACCUUGUCGUGGUAAAGGGGCUUAAAUCGUACUAUGAAAGAAACGAUAACUAAAUGGAGU
rnacentral:ribozyme from 1 species